rnacentral:rRNA from 1 species
GUGAGGAAUUUUGCGCAAUGGGGGCAACCCUGACGCAGCGACGCCGCGUGGAGGACGAAGUCUUUCGGGAUGUAAACUCCUGUCAGUGGGGACGAUAAUGACGGUACCCACAGAGGAAGCACCGGCUAACUCCGUGCCAGCAGCCGCGGUAAGACGGAGGGUGCAAGCGUUGUUCGGAAUUACUGGGCGUAAAGCGUAUGUAGGCGGCAAGUUAAGUUCAAUGUUAAAGCCCACGGCUCAACCGAGGAGAUGCAUUGAAUACUGGCUAGCUAGAGUGUGUUAGAGGAAGACGGAAUUCCCAGUGUAGCGGUGAAAUGCGUAGAUAUUGGGAGGAACAUCGGUAGCGAAAGCGGUCUUCUGGGACAUACCUGACGCUGAGGUACGAAAGCGUGGGGAGCAAACGGGAUUAGAUACCCGAGUAGUCC